AGUGAACGCUGGCGGUAGGCCUAACACAUGCAAGUCGAACGGCAGCACAGUAAGAGCUUGCUCUUACGGGUGGCGAGUGACGGACGGGUGAGGAAUUCAUCGGAAUCUACUUUUUCGUGGGGGAUAACGUAGGGAAACUUACGCUAAUACCGCAUACGACCUACGGGUGAAAGCAGGGGAUCUUCGGACCUUGCGCGAUUGAAUGAGCCGAUGUCGGAUUAGCUAGUUGGCGGGGUAAAGGCCCACCAAGGCGACGAUCCGUAGCUGGUCUGAGAGGAUGAUCAGCCACACUGGAACUGAGACACGGUCCAGACUCCUACGGGAGGCAGCAGUGGGGAAUAUUGGACAAUGGGCGCAAGCCUGAUCCAGCCAUACCGCGUGGGUGAAGAAGGCCUUCGGGUUGUAAAGCCCUUUUGUUGGGAAAGAAAAGCAGCAGGUUAAUACCCCGCUGUUCUGACGGUACCCAAAGAAUAAGCACCGGCUAACUUCGUG
rnacentral:rRNA from 1 species